rnacentral:rRNA from 1 species
GACAGAGGGUGCAAGCGUUAAUCGGAAUUACUGGGCGUAAAGCGUGCGCAGACGGUCUCGUAAGUCGGAUGUGAAAUCCCCAGGCUCAACCUGGGAACUGCAUCCGAUACUGGAUGGCUUGAAUUCGGGAGAGGGAUGCAGAAUUCCAGGUGUAGCGGUGAAAUGCGUAGAUAUCUGGAGGAAUACCGGUGGCGAAGGCGGCAAUCCUGGACCGACAUUGACUGCUGAGGA